UGUAGCACAUGCAUUUUUGGACAAUGUUUUUAAGUUGCAUGGGUUGCCUUAGACAGUAGUCAAUAACAGAGAUGUUGUAUUUACCGGUACUUUUUGGCAGGAAUUUUGCAAGCUACAAGGGGUCCCUUUGCAUAUGUCCACAGCCUAUCACCCUCAGACUGAUGGCUAGACUGAGGUUGUGAAUAGGUGCUUGGAAAAUUAUCUCAGGUGCACGUUGGUGAUAUUCAUCACUUGGCUGCAAUUGUUGUCCUUAGCUGAAUUCUGAUAUAAUACCUCAUGCCAUUCAACAAUUCAGAUGUCCCCAUUUGAGGCAUUGUAUGGUUUUAAGCCUCCAAUGCACAUUUCUUACAUGCCUAAGGACUCAAAUGUAGCUGCUGUGCACAUUUACUUGAUUGAGAAUUAGUGGAGAUUUGCUUGCUGCCAUGGAGAUUUGCUAAUGAGGCUUCUGCCUUUUUUUUUUAUUUCCUCCAACUAGCAGUUUGGUGGUGACGGUGGGUUGGGCUUCAUCGACUUCGCAUUCUGUCUGAAGCUGGUCCGCAGAAAGCCUUGAACUUCGUCAUUUCUUGGUCUCACAAACUGACUACCCAUGCAGUUCAAAGCAUCUAAGAUUUCUGUCUUGCAAUGUUCUUAACAAGCAGAAACUUCAACUACUGGUUGGUGUUUCCUCAACAUUCAUUGCAUCAAAAUAUGAAGAAAUCAACGCUCCAAAUGCGGAAGACUUUUGCUAUAUAACUGAUAAAACAUACACCAAAGAAGAGGU